GGAGCUGGCCAGGGGCGGAGCUGCCUUUGUGCACCGACCCUCGGAUUGAACGGUACCUGGGAAUCUAGCUAGUGUAGGUUUUAGAAAACCCACUUAAAGCGAUCACUUCGUGAGAUCAGGUGAGCUGGUCCCAUGAACCAGGAAGUACAAAUUUUUGAGGUGCUCCGGGAUCUGAAAGAUGCGGAGUUCGAGGUCUUCAAGAAAAUUGUGUCUCAGCACCAGGUGGAAGCGUCAACCUGGUCACUUCCAACUGCCUCCCGAGUAGAUAUUGCCUCCCACCUGGUGAGCUCUUACGGCUCCAGAGCCCUGAGUGUGGUGGCCCAGACUCUGGACCGUGUCCCUGUUCGGCACCUUCGGGAAAAACUUGAAGAGCUGAGGCUUAAAGACUGUACUUGGGAACAGGAGACCAGCAUCACCUCCCAUACUAGAAGAGAAGCACCCAUAGGAUUAGCUGAGCCAGUGGUGACUCAGGAAACAUUGAUGAAGCUAUCCAGGCAUGUGGGGCAUGAAUGGCGGGAGCUGGGCAUAAUGUGCCUGGGCCUUCAACAGCACCAACUGGAUAGGCUAGAGGAAGACAACCCCUUCUUAGCCAGCAUGCGAAUCUUCCACAUGUUCCUACUCUGGAGGAACCGAGAGAAGGAAAAGGCCACAGCCACCAGACUCUACCAACUCUUGUCCAGUGAAAGCAUUUCCAUUAGCCAUGAGGCCCUUGCUGUACUUCAGGAAGCUAUCUGAUCCCUGCUCAAAGGAGGGAGAGAACACUUCAGAUCUUCUUUCUAGAUAAAGAAACAUACUUCUGAGAAGAGCACCACAGGUUUCACCAGAUUACUAAAGGAGUCCAUCUUACAAAAAGGAUGAAGAACCCCUUGUAAUAUGAGUGAGAUUUUCCCCAUCCUUAGAAUGCAAGUGAUUUAACUGUAGUACCAAUCAGUUUAUAGACUACAAAUUCUUUGGUAGCUUAAGCGUUAAAAAUGUUUAGCUAUCUUUGGUAGCUUAAGAUUUUUUAAAAAUUAGAUAUUCAUUACCCUUUGACCCAGUGGUACCACUGCUAGGUCUGUAUCCCAAAGAGACCAUAGAAAAGGGAAAAGGACCCAUAUGUACAAAAAU